GACGAACGCUGGCGGCGUGCUUAACACAUGCAAGUCGAACGGAAAGGCCCUGCUUUUGUGGGGUGCUCGAGUGGCGAACGGGUGAGUAACACGUGAGUAACCUGCCCUUGACUUUGGGAUAACUUCAGGAAACUGGGGCUAAUACCGGAUAGGAGCUCCUGCUGCAUGGUGGGGGUUGGAAAGUUUCGGCGGUUGGGGAUGGACUCGCGGCUUAUCAGCUUGUUGGUGGGGUAGUGGCUUACCAAGGCUUUGACGGGUAGCCGGCCUGAGAGGGUGACCGGCCACAUUGGGACUGAGAGACGGCCCAGACUCCUACGGGAGGCAGCAGGGGGGAAUAUUGCGCAAUGGGCGGAAGCCUGAUGCAGCAACGCCGCGUGCGGGAUGACGGCCUUCGGGUUGUAAACCGCUUUCGCCUGUGACGAAGCGUGAGUGACGGUAAUGGGUAAAGAAGCACCGGCUAACUACGUG
rnacentral:rRNA from 1 species